GUGCUUUCUCUGGCACCACGUAUACUAAAAUUGGAAUGAUGCAGAGAAGAUUAGCAUGGACCUUGUGCAAGGAUGACAUGGACAUUUGUGAAGUGUUCCAAAAAAGA
rnacentral:snRNA from 1 species